UACAGAGGUCUCAAGCGUUGUUCGGAUUCAUUGGGCGUAAAGGGUGCGUAGGUGGCGUCGUAAGUCGGGUGUGAAAUCUCGGGGCUUAACUCCGAAACUGCAUUCGAUACUGCGGUGCUUGAGGACUGGAGAGGAGACUGGAAUUUACGGUGUAGCAGUGAAAUGCGUAGAGAUCGUAAGGAAGACCAGUGGCGAAGGCGGGUCUCUGGAAAGUUCCUGACGCUGAGGCACGAAGGUCAGGGGAGCAAACGGG
rnacentral:rRNA from 1 species